UUUUUACCUCCGCCGACGAAGUUGGGUGGAGGUUGUUGUCGCCACUGUUUGUUUGUUUAUUUGUUUGUUUGUUUGAUGUGAGGUGCAGACUGGCACUCAC